rnacentral:rRNA from 1 species
UAAUACGUAGGGCGCAAGCGUUGUCCGGAAUUAUUGGGCGUAAAGAGCUCGUAGGCGGCCAGUCACGUCGGGUGUGAAAGCCCGGGGCUUAACCCCGGGUCUGCAUUCGAUACGGGCUGGCUAGAGUGUGGUAGGGGAGAUCGGAAUUCCUGGUGUAGCGGUGAAAUGCGCAGAUAUCAGGAGGAACACCGGUGGCGAAGGCGGAUCUCUGGGCCAUUACUGACGCUGAGGAGCGAAAGCGUGGGGAGCGAACAGGAUUAGAUACCCUGGUAGUCCACGCCGUAAACGGUGGGAACUAGGUGUUGGCGACAUUCCACGUCGUCGGUGCCGCAGCUAACGCAUUAAGUUCCCCGCCUGGGGAGUACGGCCGCAAGGCU